UGACACGCACAUAGCGCUCAGUGUAGGGACAUCUAUGCUGGCACUUCCUGAGCCUCUGAACAAGGACUCUGAAUACCCAUCACCUAAUGGUUUCCCUAUAGCUAGAAGGGACAUUGAUUGACAGUUUGACAGGUGAUGACUUUCAAGAUGGCUUAGAUGUCUGUGGUAAUCAAUUAGAAGAUGUGGAUAAUGGAUUAUGCGUAGAUUGUGUUUCACCUUCCCAGCUAGAUAUGGCCCAAAGUCGAGAAGGGUACAACGGAAGCUUGUCAGGAUGUGAAUGAGUGGCAGAGACUUCAAAGUUCAAAGAAACUCAACACUGUUUUCUUUCGUCACAUACGAUUACACAUCGGCUGCAAGUUGUAUUGAUAUCAAACAUCACUUUCAACAGGAGACAAAAAGACAACCCAGCAAAGACACAGGAGUGGGAAAAAGAUGAAGAUUGUCACAGAAAUUGAUUGUCUUGUGACAGCAGCACUUGAUCACGUUGAGGCCGUGAUACUGGAGAGUUCUGGCAGACACUGAUGAAAGUCUUAUGCCAACUGAGAAAACUGAAAAAAUAACUGAAACUGAAACUGAAGACAUCAACAGAGUCGACACCCAAGUGUUUUGCCCUCAAUCGGAGUUAGCAGCCUGUGCCACAAGAUGGGGGCUGACAUGCCAUUUCAGGGAAGGAAUGUUCAUUUGAAAGGAUAAAUACGAACUGUGGAUAAUCAAAGAUAAAAAUAUUCAAUUCUGAGAUUGUUGCCAAAAUAAUUCAUCAGGACAUGAAAAAAUAUCCUGGAUUGAAAUACUAGAAUCAUCAUGUGACAAAAAUUGAUAUAUAACCUGUGCUUUGUAGAGUUUCUCGUGGAAAUAUCAUUGCGAUGAUUCCUGAAAGUUAAAAGUCACCAAUUGACAGUAUUUUCUGUACAUGUUUGACCAGCAGUGACCACACAAACAUCAUGAUGAAUGAAAUCAACACUACAGACAACGACACGAUGGGCCACCCCACGAAACACCUCCCAGAAGCUAUUUUCAUAUCGGCGGAGGUGUUAACAAUCUUGUUUGCACUUGUAGGCUUUGUUGGAAAUCUUUUGACAGUAUUUGCAAUUCUAACAUCAAAUCUCAAAACUAAUCUCAACAGUAUUUUGAUCGGGAACCUGAGUUUUGCCCAAGUGAUCUACUGUAGUCUGAUCCUGCCUCUACAAGCCCUCAUAUACCACUACCGCAACUGGAUACUUCCGUCGGACUUGUGCGUCCUCCAUGCCGCGGUUCGAUUCUGGCUGAUCGGCGUCAACAUGAUGCUUCUGAGUGCCAUAGCUUUGUAUCGCUUCCUUCACAUUGUGCAUCCUACCAUCUACUCCAAGUUCUCCAGCCGAGGACCCUUCUUGGCAGUGGUGGUAAUCUGCUGGGUGUUUUCUCUAUAUUUCUGCAUCACGCCGAUUAUUGGAUUAUGGGGAUCGUUCUCGUUUCAGGAGGCGAUUCUUCAGUGUACAUUCACCACUAGUGCUAACAAGUCACAUAAAAUAACCACAGUCACGUUAGGGUUUGUGAUACCGUGCAUAUUCAUCUGCUUCUGUUAUGCCAGGAUUGGAUGUAUGGCAUAUUUUUCCCGAAAACGAGUCACACGGACUGCCAGUCAGUAUCGACGACAAAAAGCUCAAAAAGAUUCCCUUCGUCUCACUGGUAUGAUGUUGUUUAUUUUCUGUGGGUUUCUCCUCGGUACGACACCGUAUUUUGUAAGCAAUAUCCUCGACCCGAAGAUGAAGCAUCCCCUGGCUCACAUCUGGGCUCCGUUCAUGGCCUGGCUGUUGUACUGCAUGAACCCCGUCAUUUACACCGUGAUGGACCGGAACUUCCAGAACGCCUACCGCAGGCUCUUGACCUGCCAUGUGUGCGCCAAGGGAGACAACUCUCAGACUCUCAACGCGGAGACGUCCUAUGCCCACCGCUAGCUACAGGACCUGUGCCCAUCACGACAAGAGGACCUGUGCCCAUCACGACAAGAGGACCUGUGCCCAUCAUGACAACAGGAGUAUAUAACCGAGCCAGAUUUGGCAAUGUUCCCUACACUCUCGCAAACUGCAGAGCAACGACAACGGAAAUGCUGUGAACAGCUAUGCUAGCUUGGCCAUGUUCCCUUGCUGUUUGGAACGUUCAUUGUCUAGCAAAGGUGUCAUUGUCCAGUAUGUUUCAGGGUAGGUUCUAUCUUCCUUGACACACCCAGUGUCUUAUGUGUACCACGGGUGUGGCUGUCCGGUAUCUUGGAGGGCAGGUUCUAUGUCCCAUGACAGACGCAGUGUCUAUUGUCUGCGACAGGAGUGUUAUCCUAUAAGUUCAAAGAUACAUCCUAAACGGAUCACAAAAAAGGCUUGUCCUUUGAUGCCCUAUGAGAGACGGACGUAUCAUGUCUACUAUGAACACCACUGUCUUAUGUGCUGAAGACAUUUCCCAGAAGGAGGUGUGUCUUGUAUCAAUGGCAAACACUACCCAUCCCACAAACAUGUCAAUUCAGUUGCUGCAUUUGUGUAAUAGCUCCAUCGGUUCCACGGAGUAGAAGACGAUUUCCAGAGUGGAUUGCUUCAUGAGGAAACGCAAGCUGUAUGUGAUUCAGUGUGUUCUAGUGUUCCUUAAAUGUGUUCCUGCUAAUGGACUUUCAUAAUGACAAUAACUGGAUCAACAAUCCCAUUUUUUUUAAUGUGCUAGUGGUCAAAACAGAGACAAAAAUCUCUAAGACAUGAUGAUGUGCUAAUCUUAGCGUAGGAUGAAAGGAGAAGGCGGCUAUUGUAAUAACUGCUUGCAUUCCAACCUGAAGUUCGAUCACAACUGACAGUAGUAUUUUGUUUUAUUGUUUUAUUGUUUUAUUCAAUCUUGAAGGUGAACUCCAUACUGGAGGCAACAUAUUAUUUCCAUAAAGACAGUAUUGAACAGAACCUACAGGAACAAACACUAUAAUUGUAGUCCACACUCAUUGAAAUAUGGUUCAAUCAGUCAGUAUAAACCAAGGAUUUUGAUAAGAUAUGACAGAUGGUCCUGCUUACCGGUACUAUCAUUUUCAUAUUCUCCAACUAUUUGAAAUGCCAUGUAAGUCGAUCUGUACUGAAAAAUAUUGAUAUGUAAUAUCUUGUAUUUUUAUGAUAGUCUGGAAAUUGUAAUUGGAAACGAAACAAAAUACCUCACUAGACAAAAGGAAACAACAUACUUGUUUGUCAUCAAUACAAAAAAUGGAAAGUUAGGUUGAAUGUUUAGUUUAUUUUUCCUUUUGAUUUUGAUUAAUUAAUAAAUGGAUUCACAAGUUACAAAAUGUAAACAAUUAUAUAAGUGAGUGAGUGAGUGAGUUGGUUUUAACACCGCUUUUCACAGUAUUCCAGUUAUAUCGCAGCGUGUCAGCUUAAUGUGGGAGGAACGCCAGAAGUGAUGCAGGUCUUAGAUGUUUA